GAGUUUGAUCCUGGCUCAGGACGAACGCUGGCGGCAUGCCUAACACAUGCAAGUCGAACGGAGUUAUUAUUCAGAAGUUCUUCGGGAUGGAAGGAUAAGAACUUAGUGGCGGACGGGUGAGUAACGCGUGGGUAACCUGCCCUUUUGUGGGGAACAACUUCGAGAAAUCGGAGCUAAUACCGCAUAAUAAUAGAGGAUCGCAUGAUUCUUUAAGGAAAGAUGGCCUCUGAAGAUGCUAUCGCAAAAGGAUGGACCCGCGUCUGAUUAGCUAGUUGGAAGGGUAACGGCCUACCAAGGCAACGAUCAGUAGCCGGCCUGAGAGGGUGAACGGCCACAUUGGGACUGAGACACGGCCCAAACUCCUACGGGAGGCAGCAGUGGGGAAUCUUCCGCAAUGGGCGAAAGCCUGACGGAGCAAUGCCGCGUGAGUGAAGAAGGCCUUCGGGUUGUAAAACUCUGUCCUUAUCGAAGAGAGGUAGGUAUGUGAAUAAUGUACCUAUAGGACGGUAGAUAAGGAGGAAGCCCCGGCUAACUACGUGCCAGCAGCCGCGGUAAUACGUAGGGGGCGAGCGUUGUCCGGAAUCACUGGGCGUAAAGGGCGCGUAGGCGGUUUAAUAAGUCAGUGGUGAAAACUGAGGGCUCAACCCUCAGCCUGCCACUGAUACUGU
rnacentral:rRNA from 1 species